ACAACGACAUUGAGCAGAUUAGUAGAACGAUGCGUGCUAUCAGCGAGUAACCGGUGGUGGGAAGGUUACAGUACUCCCGUUCGAAUCACAACUGUGAGUUGGCCACUGACCAAAAGGUGGUCCGGGGAAGCCCGUUAGCGCGCAAAGUUUACAAUUCGUGAACUUACUGAGGUCGUCUUCCGUGAGGGGGCGACAAGAUGAGGUGGAACCGCGGCAACGCCCUCUUA
rnacentral:ncRNA from 1 species